GGGGAAUAUUGGACAAUGGGCGAAAGCCUGAUCCAGCCAUGCCGCGUGUGUGAAGAAGGUCUUCGGAUUGUAAAGCACUUUAAGUUGGGAGGAAGGGUUGUAGAUUAAUACUCUGCAAUUUUGACGUUACCGACAGAAUAAGCACCGGCGAACUCUGUGCCAGCAGCCGCGGUAAUACAGAGGGUGCAAGCGUUAAUCGGAAUUACUGGGCGUAAAGCGCGCGUAGGUGGUUUGUUAAGUUGGAUGUGAAAUCCCCGGGCUCAACCUGGGAACUGCAUCCAAAACUGGCAAGCUAGAGUAUGGUAGAGGGUGGUGGAAUUUCCUGUGUAGCGGUGAAAUGCGUAGAUAUAGGAAGGAACACCAGUGGCGAAGGCGACCACCUGGACUGAUACUGACACUGAGGGGCGAAAGCGUGGGGAGCAAAC
rnacentral:rRNA from 1 species